AAGAGAGGUAGCGUUUUCUCCUGAGCGUGAAGCCGGCUUUCUGGCGUUGCUUGGCUGCAACUGCCGUCAGCCAUUGAUGAUCGUUCUUCUCUCCGUAUUGGGGAGUGAGAGGGAGAGAACGCGGUCUGAGUGGUUUUUCCUUCUUGAUGGCUCAAUGACAGAGACUAGCUCGUAAACUCCGGGCCGUUUCCGGGCUGUUCGCUCCUGCUUGGCAAUGUCGCGAGAAAGGUUUUCGCCUCCUGUUUCAGCGGUGACGGCUCUUGGGUUUUCUCGGGGUGGCUUUUUAAUUUUAGUCUUGGCGCGAGGCGGGGGAUGCUGUGUGGCACCUCCUAUUGUCUCUUUUUGCGUUUUCUCCCAUUCUCGCUCCCUCUUUUGUCGCCGUUUCCCGCCCGCCACUCCCACCCCCAGACGGGGUCUCCGGGUCUCUUGUUCUGUCUGCCGGCCCCGGCUGGAGUGCAGUGGCGCGAUCUCGGCUCCUAGCAACAACUGCCUCCCGGGCUCAAGCGAGUCUCCCGCCUAAGCCCUCCCGAGUAGCCGGGGCUUAAAGGCGCACACGCCACUCCAGGCUUUUUUUUUUUGGCAGAAACGGGGUGUCAGCAUGUUAGCCAGGCUGGUCUCCAACGCGUGAUCUCAGGUGAUCCGCCCGCCUCGGCCUCCCGAAGUUCUGGGAUUACAGGCGUGAGCCACUGCACCCGGCCCUUCUAUUUUUUUAAAUAGCGACGGGGUUUCACCAUGUUGGCCAGGCUGCUCCUGAACACCUGAGUUCAGGUGAUCCGCCCGCCUCGGCCUCCCGAAGUUCUGGGAUUACAGGAGUGAGCCACCGCGCCCGACUGAGAACUGUAAGAAAUAAAUUUGUGUUAUUUAAGCC
rnacentral:lncRNA from 10 species